GACAGAGGGUGCAAACGUUGUUCGGAAUUACUGGGCGUAAAGCGUGUGUAGGCGGCUACGUAAGUCGGAUGUGAAAGCCCCAGGCUCAACCUGGGAGGUGCACUCGAUACUGCGUAGCUUGAGUAUCGGAGAGGUUGGUGGAAUUCUCGGUGUAGAGGUGAAAUUCGUAGAUAUCGAGAGGAACACCGGUGGCGAAGGCGGCCAACUGGACGAAUACUGACGCUGAGACACGAAAGCGUGGGGAGCAAACAGG
rnacentral:rRNA from 1 species